GAAGAAGAGUUCGUAUAGUCAUACAUGUACAGGGAUUAUCUUCCAAAUCUGCUUGUUUGCAUAGACCCAAUUAGAUUUCCCGGAAGCUCGCACCCAGAUUUUGUUAUCCACAUCGGUUGAUCCUUGCAUACUACCCCUCACGGUUGAUGCGAUGAAUCUGAGACCUAGUAUGCAAUUACGAUGGGUGGAAUCAUUUAAAUUACUUGUUUCACAUAUGACGCAAAGUGCUAAAUAUCAAAACAUACGAGCAUCAUGCUUAUAUAAAACGACAAGUAAAUCACACGAGUACGUAGGACUGUAGGAGGUACCUAAAACAGCUAGUAAAUCACACAAGUAUCCUUUAAUGACACAGGAGGUGGUACCAUAACUACGACGUGAGAGUUAUGGUCAUCUUAAUUCACAUCGGAAAAAUGACCAAAUAUCUCUACUUCAGUGAAGAUGCAAUCCUACGUAUAAUCUAGAGUUAUGGUCACUGUCGUACAAUGGUGCAAUUAUGUACUCCACUAACUACCACUUCAUUAAUAGAGUUACAGUUUUUAUUCAGUAAAAUAUUAGUUGUACUAAAAAGGAGUAAUCAAUAAAACUAAAGAUUAAUCCCACUCCUAGCAGAGCUAAAAGAGAGUAAAUUCAGAAAUAUCAACUUAUAAUGCACAAUUUAUCACGGAUCCAUCCUAAAUGGCCAUCUAAUAAGCAACAUAUGUUUGCCCAAACUUUAUGUUGCAACGUCCCAAAUUGACAUUAUAUAGUACCAAUAAUGAGGGAUGAGAAAAUAAAGAAUGAAGUCAUGGAAAUACCUCAAGUAAAAUAAUCCAAAAUAUUAUUCUGUAUUCCUUCUCGAGAAACUGGCUUCUUCUUCAAUUAAAAAAAAAUCAUAUUUCUUAUUCAGUUGGAGCGUUCGCAAUAGUAGAACUUUCUUCAGGAUUAUUUGUAGAGAUGUGCGGACUUUCUUUAUCUACAGAUUAAUAGGCUGAAACACCAACACCAUGAUUUUCAGACCCUGCCAACUCUAUAAUUCUAUAAGAUCCAAUACCUGCUAGAUUGUUCCACAACACCAAUGUCCAAGUCAAUACCAUAUAUUAUCCACUGAAAUGUCUGAUUUAAUAUCAUAUGCAAAAACAUUAGAGCAAUGUGCUCUCCUUUACCCAUAUUGUGUACCACAGAACAUUAUGAACAUUAGGGGAGGAUUAGCCUGCAGCUAUUUUAGAUCGUGCACCAAAUACUUGUAGUUUUCCUAAAUUAGGGAGAAGAACAAGGUUGAAAUCCGCAAGAGUCGUAUAGAAAUUUCUGCAAUCAAUAUCAUACCUGAUCCAUGUCGGCAGCCUCUAAAUAAGCAACAUAAGUCCACAAUCCAUAAGUAUGUAGGCUACGCUCCAAUUUGAUGUAUCAUGCAAUUUUGCAAUACUCGGAUAGUUUUGUAAAGCAUACAGAUACUGCAUUGGAGGGCUAUAAGCUUCAAUAAUCUGAAAAUAUGUAGACCGCAGCUGAGAUCGUAACUUAGUAACACAACACAUGGUAUGAUAGCUAAAGGAGAGGCUAUCAAUUGUCAUUUUUUUGCACUGAUGUGCCAGUAGAAAAACACCAUUGAUUCGAUUUGAUGUGUGAAGUCACCUGUCGACUCGACUUGCCAUUGAUUCUGCGCCUAUUCCCUGGCUUCCUGAAAUAAAAUUUCCCAGCGUCGG
rnacentral:lncRNA from 1 species